UACGGAGGGGGCAAGCGUUGUUCGGAAUUACUGGGCGUAAAGGGCGCGCAGGCGGCUGCUCAAGUUAGGCGUGAAAGGCCUGGGCUCAACCCGGGAAUUGCGCUUGAGACUGGGCUGGCUUGAGUGCGGGAGAGGAUGGUGGAAUUCCCAGUGUAGAGGUGAAAUUCGUAGAUAUUGGGAAGAACACCGGUGGCGAAGGCGGCCAUCUGGACCGCAACUGACGCUGAGGCGCGAAAGCGUGGGGAGCGAACAGG
rnacentral:rRNA from 1 species